rnacentral:rRNA from 1 species
UACGAAGGGGGGCUAGCGUUGCUCGGAAUCACUGGGCGUAAAGCGCACGUAGGCGGCUUUCUAAGUCAGGGGUGAAAUCCUGGAGCUCAACUCCAGAACUGCCUUUGAUACUGGAGAGCUCGAGUCCGGAAGAGGUGAGUGGAACUCCGAGUGUAGAGGUGAAAUUCGUAGAUAUUCGGAAGAACACCAGUGGCGAAGGCGGCUCACUGGUCCGGUACUGACGCUGAUGUGCGAAAGCGUGGGGAGCAA